AUGCGCGUAGCUCAACUGGUAGAGCGGCGGUCUCCAAAACCGCAGGUUGUAGGUUCAAGUCCUACCGCGUAUGCCA
rnacentral:tRNA from 1 species